rnacentral:lncRNA from 1 species
GCGAGACAGGACUACGCCCAUGCAUAGUGAUAUUAUCAAGGAAGAUGAGAAACAUAGCAAUCACUCCCCUAUAAUAAUGUUGCUCUGCCUGCCCUAUACACGAGAGGGGGACUAUAUAAGAAUCAAUGGAGCUGUCACCACCACGAACUACCCCGCGAUCCGGCAUAUAGGGUACAAUCGCAGAUAAAUACGGUAUAGGCACCACGCCUACACAAUACUUAUCAUUUACCCACUAUACACAUGGAUAAACGCUAUACGAUCCUAAACAUGUAUAUAAUUCCAAUCUAACUAAGCCAAGCAUAUAACUAUGAUAAACUAAGAAUGAUAUAAUUGCAAAUAUAAACAAGUAG